rnacentral:rRNA from 1 species
UACAGAGGGGGCGAGCGUUGUUCGGAAUCACUGGGCGUAAAGGGUGCGUAGGCGGUCAGUUAAGUCUGAUGUGAAAGCCCUCGGCUCAACUGGGGAAUGGCAUUGGAAACUAGCUGGCUAGAGUACCGGAGAGGGAAGCGGAAUUCCUGGUGUAGCGGUGAAAUGCGUAGAUACCAGGAGGAACACCGGUGGCGAAGGCGGUUCUCUGGGCAUUACCUGACGCUGAGGAGCGAAAGUGUGGGGAGCGAACAGG